UACAGAGGGUGCGAGCGUUAAUCGGAUUUACUGGGCGUAAAGGGCUCGUAGGCGGCCAACUAAGUCAGACGUGAAAUCCCCAGGCUCAACCUGGGAACUGCGUCUGAUACUGGAUGGCUUGAAUCCGGGAGAGGGAUGCAGAAUUCCAGGUGUAGCGGUGAAAUGCGUAGAUAUCUGGAGGAAUACCGGUGGCGAAGGCGGCAUCCUGGACCGGCAUUGACGCUGAGGAGCGAAAGCCAGGGGAGCAAACGGG
rnacentral:rRNA from 1 species